GCUUUCUGUAAACUCUCUGAACGAGCUGAGGCCUAACGGAAAGGUCAGAAGGAGGGAAUUCCAAGAAACAUCUUCAAGGCCCGCUCUGGAUAGUGUUUACGUGGUAGGGGUAAUCACAGGGUUGGCUAAUUACAGAGCCUGCUCUGGUAGCGGGAUGCAUCUCUCCAACGCAGGGCCAAGUCCAGGGCUAACCAGGGCUUUUUCAAGAAUCUCGGGAUAAAUGUUGUCAUUGACCAAAUGGAAAUUGAGACUCUGCUUCCUUGGAGAGGUGUGCUGCGGUGGCUGCUUCAGUGUCCUGAAGUGAUUCAAAAUGGUGCCACUUUGACUUUGGGGAAGAGACAGAAGUUGCGCUGUGACAGAUUUGGUGAACACGGAUGCACUACGAUGUUUCUACAAGUCUACCCUUGAGUUGGAUGGCAAGUGGCAGCACCAUCACCUCGUAAGGACUUCCAGAAUUUCCCCUGUCUCACUACAUGGGAAAAGUCGGGAAGAGCCUGUCAUCCACUGAGAUGUUCCUGUUCAACCCGCCAAAGCUGAGUCCGCGAUUUGUGAUCAUCGUAUACAGGGCAGGGCUAGAGCUUUCCUACAACAGCGUGACAGAGGAGGAAGCUCAGGGGCCAAGCAAAUCCUGAAGAUACGGAUACGUCUUUUUAGCGCUGACUUCUGACUUCUGGAUGGAUGGUCCCAGAAGGACACCCGGAGCUACAGAUUCAAGGCCAUACCAGCUUUCACUUCCUGCCUGCCCAUGGAUACUGCACCACAGCCCGAUGGGGGUGGACAGAGCCAGGGCAAGAUUAUUGCCUCCCAUAGGGGUUGUGCCUGGGGUUGGAACAGAGGGCCUUUUACUUACUGCUCCUGUGCACUUACAGACCACUCCGCCCAGGUUGUGCAAGCCUUACGAGGACACAGGAGAUGAACUAUCGCAGGCCUCAGCACCAGGGAAAGCCAGGUGCACUCCUACCCCAAGGCAACCUGAGUCUUGCAAAUCUCUGCUUUCUUUUUUGUUCCACUGACCAGGGAACUCACAGCCAAGAUUCCUG
rnacentral:lncRNA from 1 species